UCAGAUUCAUGAAGUUUUACUCAACUUCCAGGGCAUACCAAGUUGUGCUCAACAAGUCGGCGCCCGCGAGUGUGGCUAUUACGUUAUGAAGUUCAUGCAUGAAAUAGUCACGUUACACCAUAACUCUGAUGAGCGGUUAGAUAAUGCUUACACUCCAAGAAAUGCGCCUUAUACCGAUGAGGAAAUAGAUGUGGUUCGUGAGCAAUGGGCUAAGUUUUUUACAACCGAGUAUUUAUUUACUUAGGUUGUUUAGACACAAAGAUGGAAGCGUUUAUAUCUUCAUGGAUUUGGCUAGGGAUCGAGUCGAUUGGAAGAAAGUCAACACGACCUUAAUUAAGGUUUGUAAUGCAUGAUCUAAAGGGACCUAAGUGGCUGGAUUAGAGACAUUUGUUAGAUUAGCUCUCUAGCCUUUUGUCUUUAGUUGUUAAUAUUAGUUGUAAUUUGUUAG